UUACUGAGUGAGGGCCCUCUGGGUCCAACCUCCCACCCGUGUUUAUUGUACCUUGUUGCUUCGGUGCGCCCGCCUCACGGCCGCCGGGGGGCUUCUGCCCCCGGGUCCGCGCGCACCGGAGACACUAUUGAACUCUGUCUGAAGAUUGCAGUCUGAGCAUAAACUAAAUAAGUUAAAACUUUCAACAACGGAUCUCUUGGUUCCGGCAUCGAUGAAGAACGCAGCGAAAUGCGAUAACUAAUGUGAAUUGCAGAAUUCAGUGAAUCAUCGAGUCUUUGAACGCACAUUGCGCCCCCUGGUAUUCCGGGGGGCAUGCCUGUCCGAGCGUCAUUGCUGCCCUCAAGCACGGCUUGUGUGUUGGGCUCCGUCCCCCCGGGGACGGGUCCGAAAGGCAGCGGCGGCACCGAGUCCGGUCCUCGAGCGUAUGGGGCUUUGUCACCCGCUCUGUAGGCCCGGCCGGCGCCAGCCGACAACCAAUCAUCCUUUUUUCAGGUUGACCUCGGAUCAGGUAGGGAUACCCGCUGAACUUAAGCAUAUCAAUAAGCGGAGGAAAAGAAACCAACAGGGAUUACCUCAGUAACGGCGAGUGAAGCGGUAAGAGCUCAAAUUUGAAAGCUGGCUCCUUCGGGGUCCGCAUUGUAAUUUGCAGAGGAUGUUUCGGGAGCAGCCCCCAUCUAAGUGUCCUGGAACGGACCGUCAUAGA
rnacentral:rRNA from 1 species